rnacentral:rRNA from 1 species
AGUCGAACGAUGAAGCCGAAGCUUGCUUUGGUGGAUUAGUGGCGAACGGGUGAGUAACACGUGAGUAACCUGCCCCUGACUCUGGGAUAAGCCUGGGAAACUGGGUCUAAUACCGGAUAUGACUGCGGAACGCAUGUUCUGUGGUGGAAAGAUUUAUCGGUUGGGGAUGGACUCGCGGCCUAUCAGCUUGUUGGUGAGGUAAUGGCUCACCAAGGCGACGACGGGUAGCCGGCCUGAGAGGGUGACCGGCCACACUGGGACUGAGACACGGCCCAGACUCCUACGGGAGGCAGCAGUGGGGAAUAUUGCACAAUGGGCGAAAGCCUGAUGCAGCGACGCCGCGUGAGGGAUGACGGCCUUCGGGUUGUAAACCUCUUUCAGUAGGGAAGAAGCGAGAGUGACGGUACCUGCAGAAGAAGCGCCGGCUAACUACGUGCCAGCAGCCGCGGUAAUACGUAGGGCGCAAGCGUUAUCCGGAUUUAUUGGGCGUAAAGAGCUCGUAGGCGGUUUGUCGCGUCUGCCGUGAAAGUCCGAGGCUCAACCUCGGAUCUGCGGUGGGUACGGGCAGACUAGAGUGAUGUAGGGGAGACUGGAAUUCCUGGUGUAGCGGUGAAAUGCGCAGAUAUCAGGAGGAACACCGAUGGCGAAGGCAGGUCUCUGGGCAUUUACUGACGCUGAGGAGCGAAAGCAUGGGGAGCGAACAGGAUUAGAUACCCUGGUAGUCCAUGCCGUAAACGUUGGGCACUAGGUGUGGGGGACAUUCCACGUUUUCCGCGCCGUAGCUAACGCAUUAAGUGCCCCGCCUGGGGAGUACGGCCGCAAGGCUAAAACUCAAAGGAAUUGACGGGGGCCCGCACAAGCGGCGGAGCAUGCGGAUUAAUUCGAUGCAACGCGAAGAACCUUACCAAGGCUUGACAUGUUCCAGACCGGGCUAGAGAUAGUCCUUCCCUUCGGGGCUGGUUCACAGGUGGUGCAUGGUUGUCGUCAGCUCGUGUCGUGAGAUGUUGGGUUAAGUCCCGCAACGAGCGCAACCCUCGUUCCAUGUUGCCAGCACGUAGUGGUGGGGACUCAUGGGAGACUGCCGGGGUCAACUCGGAGGAAGGUGGGGAUGACGUCAAAUCAUCAUGCCCCUUAUGUCUUGGGCUUCACGCAUGCUACAAUGGCCGGUACAAUGGGUUGCGAUACUGUGAGGUGGAGCUAAUCCCUAAAAGCCGGUCUCAGUUCGGAUUGGGGUCUGCAACUCGACCCCAUGAAGUCGGAGUCGCUAGUAAUCGCAGAUCAGCAACGCUGCGGUGAAUACGUUCCCGGGCCUUGUACACACCGCCCGUCAAGUCACGAAAGUUGGUAACACCCGAAGCCGAUGGCCUAACC